UUGGUUUUGUAAUUCAAGCAAGCUAAGCUUGAUGAUUAAUGUUUUGAAGGAAUAUUGGAGUGCAAGUACGGGUCAAGCAACCAUAAAGGAAGUGCAACAGUAAAGGUAGCGUACUGAUGUGGUGUGUCGAGGCCAAUAACAAGUGACCGACAAGUAGGAAUAGCUAGAUAUGCCUCCGAACAAAUAGCGAUGCAAUAUCCCGUUAUUGUAAGUAAGAUUCAUUUUUACUGCAGCAAGAAACUCUUGGGUAGGCAUCCUUAAUCCAUGCUCUGAAUUUCGCUAUAGCGAGAAACUCUUAGGUGGUUCCAAAAUUAUGGUGCAGUGCUUUCACUUUGACAAAGAUUUUGACUACCUUUUGAUCAGAACUAGGCAAAGUGGUAAACAUCA